UACGGAGGGCGCAAGCGUUGCUCGGAAUUACUGGGCGUAAAGCGCGUGCAGGCGGUCGGGUAAGUCGGUUGUGAAAUCCCCAGGCUCAACCUGGGAACUGCAUCGGAAACUGCUCGGCUAGAGUCCCGGAGAGGGAGGCGGAACUCCCAGUGUAGGGGUGAAAUCCGUAGAUAUUGGGAAGAACACCGGCGGCGAAAGCGGCCUACUGGACGGUGACUGCCGCUGAGACGUGAAAGCGUGGGGAGCAAACAGG
rnacentral:rRNA from 1 species